CUCGAUGUCGGCUCAUCACAUCCUGGGGCUGAAGUAGGUCCCAAGGGUAUGGCUGUUCGCCAUUUAAAGUGGUACGCGAGCUGGGUUUAGAACGUCGUGAGACAGUUCGGUCCCUAUCUGCCGUGGGCGCUGGAGAACUGAGGGGGGCUGCUCCUAGUACGAGAGGACCGGAGUGGACGCAUCACUGGUGUUCGGGUUGUCAUGCCAAUGGCACUGCCCGGUAGCUAAAUGCGGAAGAGAUAAGUGCUGAAAGCAUCUAAGCACGAAACUUGCCCCGAGAUGAGUUCUCCCUGAGACUUAGAGUCUCCUGAAGGAACGUUGAAGACGACGACGUUGAUAGGCCGGGUGUGUAAGCGCAGCGAUGCGUUGAGCUAACCGGUACUAAUGAACCGUGAGGCUUAACCUUACAACGCCGAAG
rnacentral:rRNA from 1 species